CUUCAGACUUUCUCUUCUAGACCCAAUAAAAAGGCAAAGCCCCCUUCCAGAAAGUCCCCCAUUAAAAAGGCCUGAGGCCUGCCCCUCACUAUAAGGCAAAUCAAUAGCAAUGCUGGCCUUGCUUCUGGUUCCUGGCAGCUGGCUGCAGGGGGGCCCACAGGUAGGGACCAAAGGGGGACCAGGCAGGAGCUAUCUGAG